GCGAGCGGGCGGGCGGCUUCCCAGCCCCUUGAGGGCUGGAGGAAACUCCGCCCACCAGGUGGACCGCGGUGCCGCAAGGCGCUGGGGCGAGAGCCCUAAGGCCGGAGCAGAAACGAAACGUCCCAGCCAUGAAUGGCUAUGAUAAGAUGCCUUCAAGUCUUGGAGGACGAGGCUGGGAAGCGUUGAAACGGCUGGCCCGCGGGGUGCAAGGGCAAAUAGGCGUCGAUGCGGCCAUCCAAGGCGCGGGUAGCCCGCAAAGCCGCAUGCCGCCUAAAACAGAAGGCGGGUUACCACCCGCACGC
rnacentral:RNase_P_RNA from 1 species